rnacentral:tRNA from 1 species
GGGCCGGUGGUCUAGUGGUUAUGACGCCGCCUUCACACGGCGGAUAUCGCGAGUUCGACUCUCGUCCGGCCCACCA